GAUGAACGCUGGCGGCGUGCUUAACACAUGCAAGUCGAACGGAAAGGCCUCUGCUUGCAGGGGUACUCGAGUGGCGAACGGGUGAGUAACACGUGGGUGAUCUGCCCUGCACUUCGGGAUAAGCCUGGGAAACUGGGUCUAAUACCGGAUAGGACCACAUUUUGGAUGGUGUGGUGGAAAGUUUUUCGGUGUGGGAUGAGCUCGCGGCCUAUCAGCUUGUUGGUGGGGUAAUGGCCUACCAAGGCGUCGACGGGUAGCCGGCCUGAGAGGGUGUACGGCCACAUUGGGACUGAGAUACGGCCCAGACUCCUACGGGAGGCAGCAGUGGGGAAUAUUGCACAAUGGGCGCAAGCCUGAUGCAGCGACGCCGCGUGGGGGAUGACGGCCUUCGGGUUGUAAACUCCUUUCGCUAGGGACGAAGCGCAAGUGACGGUACCUGGAGAAGAAGCACCGGCUAACUACGUGCCAGCCGCCGCGGUAA
rnacentral:rRNA from 1 species